GGAGAGGUGGCUGAGCGGUCGAAGGCACCACACUCGAAAUGUGGCGUACGGGAAACUGUACCGUGGGUUCGAAUCCCACCCUCUCCG
rnacentral:tRNA from 1 species